UAACAAUAUAUUAGAUGGAAGUAUGUCUAAGAUCAGUGAUGAUUCUGCUGAUACUAUUGAACUCUAUGAGUCUCCUGAAUCUUCCCAAGCUGCCCAAGACAUCACAAAGAAAGAAGUUAUUCUUGAAGAUGAUGAUAUACUGAGCAGUUCUGAAUCCGGCAUUGAAUCCCUCAAUGCAAGGCAACCAGAUGAACUGAAAACAAUCCGUCCAUCCAGGAUAUUCACAGAAGAGAA